UACGUAGGGUGCAAGCGUUAUCCGGAAUUAUUGGGCGUAAAGAGCUCGUAGGCGGUUUGUCACGUCUGCUGUGAAAACUGGAGGCUCAACCUCCAGCCUGCAGUGGGUACGGGCAGACUAGAGUGCGGUAGGGGAGAUUGGAAUUCCUGGUGUAGCGGUGGAAUGCGCAGAUAUCAGGAGGAAUACCUAUGGCGGAAAGCAGGUAUCUGGGCCAUCACUGACGCUGAGCUGCGAAAGCUAGGGGAGCAAACGGG
rnacentral:rRNA from 1 species